UACGGAAGGCAGCAGUGGGGAAUAUUGCACAAUGGGCGAAAGCCUGAUGCAGCUAUGCCGCGUGUAUGAAGAAGGCCUUAGGGUUGUAAAGUACUUUCAUCGGGGAGGAAAAAACAAAACUAAUAAUUUUAUUUCUUGACGUUACCCGAAAAAGAAGCACCGGCUAACUCCGUGCCAGCAGCCGCGGUAAUACGGAGGGUGCUAGCGUUAAUCAGAAUUACUGGGCGUAAAGAGCACGUAGGUGGUUUUUUAAGUCAGAUGUGAAAUCCCUGGGCUUAACCUAGGAACUGCAUUUUGAAACUGAAAUACUAGAGUAUCGUAGAGGGAGGUAGAAUUCUAGGUGUAGCGGUGAAAUGCGUAGAUAUCUGGAGGAAUACCUGUGGCGAAAGCGGCCUCCUAAACGAAUACUGACACUGAGGUGCGAAAGCGUUGGGGAGCAAACAGGGAUUAGAUA
rnacentral:rRNA from 1 species